rnacentral:tRNA from 1 species
AUCUAUUUAGUAUACUAGUAUAUUUGACUUCCAAUCAAAAGGUUUGAAUAAGCUCAAAAUAGAUA